rnacentral:rRNA from 1 species
UACGUAGGGUGCAAGCGUUAAUCGGAAUUACUGGGCGUAAAGCGUGCGCAGGCGGUUUUGUAAGACAGUGGUGAAUCCCCGGGCUCAACCUGGGAACUGCCAUUGUGACUGCAAGGCUAGAGUGCGGCAGAGGGGGAUGGAAUUCCGCGUGUAGCAGUGAAAUGCGUAGAUAUGCGGAGGAACACCGAUGGCGAAGGCAAUCCCCUGGGCCUGCACUGACGCUCAUGCACGAAAGCGUGGGGAGCAAACAGGAUUAG